CCUACGGGUGGCAGCAGUGGGGAAUAUUGGACAAUGGGGGCAACCCUGAUCCAGCCAUGCCGCGUGUGUGAAGAAGGCCCUCGGGUUGUAAAGCACUUUCAGUGAGGAAGAACGCCUGGUGGUUAAUACCCAUCAGGAAAGACAUCACUCACAGAAGAAGCACCGGCUAACUCCGUGCCAGCAGCCGCGGUAAUACGGAGGGUGCGAGCGUUAAUCGGAAUUACUGGGCGUAAAGCGCGCGUAGGUGGCUUGAUAAGCCGGUUGUGAAAGCCCCGGGCUCAACCUGGGAACGGCAUUCGGAACUGUCAAGCUAGAGUGCAGGAGAGGAAGGUAGAAUUCCCGGUGUAGCGGUGAAAUGCGUAGAGAUCGGGAGGAAUACCAGUGGCGAAGGCGGCCUUCUGGACUGACACUGACACUGAGGUGCGAAAGCGUGGGUAGCAAACAGGAUUAGAUACCCUGGUAGUC
rnacentral:rRNA from 1 species